GUCUCAUGAGAUGGGCUCCGAGAGCACUAAUAAAUGCAUUCCAAAGCAACAGUUUUAGUAUCCAAGUCACAAACGCCCUGAACCACAGUGUGUGGCCUCAGACCCACCACUUUGUACCCUCGGUUGGGACUCAGAAACACAGCUUGAGAAAGGAACUUCUCACUGCCAAGGAGCGUCUGGACUGGAGUAAAUAUAAUGGAGUCCUGGGUCUGAGAGAACAUCUUAUUGUUCUGUACUCACCCUUCUUGUGAUGAUGUGAGAUGACACGAUGCCUAAGUGAUGAGCUGAAGUGAGGGGUGCCUGGCAGGCUGUGGAGCUUCAGGGCGGGAGGAGAUAUGACACUGCUCUAUGCUGGUCACAGCUGCUGAAGCUAUUUUCACCUCAUGAAGCCUCUGGGAUGCCU